rnacentral:rRNA from 1 species
AGUGAACGCUGGCGGCAGGCCUAAUACAUGCAAGUCGAACGGCAGCACAGCAGAGCUUGCUCUGUGGGUGGCGAGUGGCGGACGGGUGAGGAAUACGUGGGAAUCUGCCCAGUCGUGGGGGAUAACGUAGGGAAACUUACGCUAAUACCGCAUGCGCCCUUCGGGGAAAGCCGGGGACCUUCGGGCCUGGCGCGAUUGGAUGAGCCCACGUCGGAUUAGCUAGUUGGCGGGGUAAAGGCCCACCAAGGCGACGAUCCGUAGCUGGUCUGAGAGGAUGAUCAGCCACACUGGAACUGAGACACGGUCCAGACUCCUACGGGAGGCAGCAGUAGGGAAUAUUGGACAAUGGGCGCAAGCCUGAUCCAGCCAUGCCGCGUGAGUGAAGAAGGCCCUCGGGUUGUAAAAGCUCUUUUGUCCGGAAAGAAAAGCGCCGGGUUAAUAACCCCUGGUGUCCUGACGGUACCGGAAGAAUAAGCACCGGCUAAACUUCGUGCCAGCAGCCGCGGU